rnacentral:rRNA from 1 species
UACGAAGGGGGCUAGCGUUGCUCGGAAUCACUGGGUGUAAAGCGCACGUAGGCGGCUUUCUAAGUCAGGGGUGAAAUCCUGGAGCUCAACUCCAGAACUGCCUUUGAUACUGGGAAGCUCGAGUCCGGAAGAGGUGAGUGGAACUCCGAGUGUAGAGGUGAAAUUCGUAGAUAUUCGCAAGAACACCAGUGGCGAAGGCGGCUCACUGGCCCGAUACUGACGCUGAGGUGCGAAAGCUAGGGGAGCGAACGGG